rnacentral:rRNA from 2 species
GCCAAAGCGGGGUGCUAAUACUGCAAGUCGAACGCGUUGGCCCAAUUGAUUGAUGGUGCUUGCACCUGAUUGAUUUUGGUCGCCAACGAGUGGCGGACGGGUGAGUAACACGUAGGUAACCUGCCCAGAAGCGGGGGACAACAUUUGGAAACAGAUGCUAAUACCGCAUAACAACGUUGUUCGCAUGAACAACGCUUAAAAGAUGGCUUCUCGCUAUCACUUCUGGAUGGACCUGCGGUGCAUUAGCUUGUUGGUGGGGUAACGGCCUACCAAGGCGAUGAUGCAUAGCCGAGUUGAGAGACUGAUCGGCCACAAUGGGACUGAGACACGGCCCAUACUCCUACGGGAGGCAGCAGUAGGGAAUCUUCCACAAUGGGCGCAAGCCUGAUGGAGCAACACCGCGUGAGUGAAGAAGGGUUUCGGCUCGUAAAGCUCUGUUGUUAAAGAAGAACACGUAUGAGAGUAACUGUUCAUACGUUGACGGUAUUUAACCAGAAAGUCACGGCUAACUACGUGCCAGCAGCCGCGGUAAUACGUAGGUGGCAAGCGUUAUCCGGAUUUAUUGGGCGUAAAGAGAGUGCAGGCGGUUUUCUAAGUCUGAUGUGAAAGCCUUCGGCUUAACCGGAGAAGUGCAUCGGAAACUGGAUAACUUGAGUGCAGAAGAGGGUAGUGGAACUCCAUGUGUAGCGGUGGAAUGCGUAGAUAUAUGGAAGAACACCAGUGGCGAAGGCGGCUACCUGGUCUGCAACUGACGCUGAGACUCGAAAGCAUGGGUAGCGAACAGGAUUAGAUACCCUGGUAGUCCAUGCCGUAAACGAUGAGUGCUAGGUGUUGGAGGGUUUCCGCCCUUCAGUGCCGGAGCUAACGCAUUAAGCACUCCGCCUGGGGAGUACGACCGCAAGGUUGAAACUCAAAGGAAUUGACGGGGGCCCGCACAAGCGGUGGAGCAUGUGGUUUAAUUCGAAGCUACGCGAAGAACCUUACCAGUCUUGACAUCUUGCGCCAACCCUAGAGAUAGGGCGUUUCCUUCGGGACGCAUGACAGUAGAGCAUGAUCGUCGUCAGCUCGUGUCUGACAUGCUGGGU